CUGUAACAGAUCGUUCUUAUUACAUCAUCAUAUACACAUGACAUACAGGCCUAAUAGGCCAACAUAAUCAUUUAUAAACUCAAAACAUAGGCCGACAAGGCCGUACAAUCUUUCACGUACAAGACAUAUGUCUACAAGCCUCUAAACAUAAAUGUCAUAAAGGUCGGGACAGAGUCCCGCCAUACCAAACAAUACACAUUUAAAUCAUACUAACCAAAUUAGCAACUUCGAAGUAAAUGGAGAGCACCAACAUCUUCCGCUGAGCUGAUAGCCUACUUGGAGGGCUCUCGACCUAUGUAUCGGGACCUACGAGUAUGAAACGCAGCGUCCCCAGGCAAAAGGUAUGUCAAUACGAAUAAUGUACCGAGUAUGUAAGGCACAUAAAUAAAUAUAUAAGAGACAUGGAAGACAUAUAGAGUACAUGACUCAACCUGUAAGUCUGAAUAACUCUGUAAAUCAUGAAAUACUUUUAGCAUCAUGCAUAUGCGUAUGAAUGUCAUAUCGUGCAUAGGUACAUGUCUCGUAUCAUCAUCAGCCUCUGAGGGCAUCCCAUCAUAUCAUAUGGCCACUGUGGGCAAAUUUAUCAACGUAUACUAGCUGAUCAGGUGGUGGUGUGUAUAUAACGCCAUAACCUUUCCCAUAUCCCAUAUACAUAUAUAUACAUACAUAUAUACGCGUAUAUAACUCCAUUUGAAUACAUACAUAUAUAUGUGUAUAUAACGCUGUUUGAAUCAUAUUUCAGCCACUGUGGGCAACAUCAUCAUCAUAUACUAGCUGAUCAGGUGGUGGUGAGUAUAUAACGCCAUAACCUUUUUCUAUAUUCCAUAUACAUAUAUUUACAUAUAUACGUAUAUAUAACGUCGUCUGGUCAUGGGUCAAUGCACAAGAAUGCAAUGCAUGAAAAGUACGUUAAUAAAAUCUUUCGGAAUCUCAUAAGACCAUUUUGCCUUUGAGUAAUAUCAUAAAGAACUCUUUCAACUUUCGUAUUUUUCUGAGACCCAUGAACAGAUGAUAAAAUAUUAUGACACACGGAAAUUCAAGAACAUAGAUAUCUCAAAUACUUCUAUGAAUAGAGUCAUUCAUGGAAUUUGUGCAUUUGCACGCUUCGUUUGUAUCGUAUAGAUCAUGUCAAAAGAAAGAAGGGAUAGCCUUAAUAUACCUGUUGCUAUUAUAAUAUGGAAUGACUGUCGUCCUUGGUUUUGUAUUCUGAAUAAUUCGUUUGCCGACUAAACUUUGGUAUUCAUGAUCAGAGUCCUUUGCGUUUUUAUAGCCCACCUAUGAAAAUGGGUUCUUGAUAUUCAUUCAAGAUUAGAACCUUCUGCAUUUGACGUCUUAUUUAUUUCAACGACCAUCUUUAAAU
rnacentral:lncRNA from 1 species